rnacentral:rRNA from 1 species
AUGUUUGUUGGUACUUGCAACGAAGAGAUUGCACAGUCAAUCAUAUCUGUCUUGAGAAGCUGUAGAGAAGCAGACAUUUCAAAGCCCAUUGCACGUAUGCUACCACUUGCUCUUGGGCUUCUGUAUCUUGGAAAACAGGAGAUGGCUACAAGUAUUAUUGAGGAGUCUUUAACACUUCACAAAGAAAUUAAGCACUACUGUGCCAUGUCGGUUAUGUCUUUGGCAUUUGCUGGGACAGGGAACGUGAACAUGGUUCACCGACUCUUUCGUAUUUCCUCACAUAAUAAUGGGACUUACAGAGGACCAACAGUUAUUGGAAUUGCUCUUAUUGCCAUGGGUGAAGAAAUAGGGGCUGAAGUGGCCGUAAGGUUCCUUGAGCAACUUUUACAAUAUGGCGAUUAUACUGUUAGAAGAGCUGUUCCCCUUGCUCUUGCCUUGCUAUCCAUUUCAAACCCAAAGGUAUACAUUAUGGACACACUAAGCAGACUGAGCCAUGAUUCAGACAUUUUCGUGUCAAUGGCUUCAAUUAUCUCAAUGGGCUUGAUCGGUGCUGGUACAAACAAUUCUCGCAUAGCUCAGAUUCUCCGUGACCUAUCGAAUCACCCAGAUGACAAUCAUUUGUUUUGUGUGAGAAUUGCGCAAGGUCUUGUUCACCUUGGAAAGGGAUUGCUGACGCUUGACCCCUGGCAUUCUGAUCGGUUUCUUUCAUCCCCCGUUGCAUUAGCUGGUAUUGUAACGGUUCUACACACAUGCCUUAACAUGCAAUCCACCAUUCUUGAAGAGUAUCCAUACAUGCUGUAUACACUUGUGCUUGCCAUGCAGCCUAGGAUGUUGCUGACAGUGGAUGAGGAUCUUAAGCCCCUCCCUGUACCAGUUCGUGUCGGCCAGGCAGUCGACGUGGUUGGUCAGCCAGGACAACCAAGAACCAUCAGUGGCUUUAGAACGCACAAGACACCCAUAGUGCUUGCUGCAGGGGAGCGAGCUGAGCUUGCUACUGAGAAAUAUAUUCCACUGGCACCAGUUCUAGAGGGCUUUGUGAUUUUGAGGAAGAACCCAGAUUAUUGUGAAGACUGA